GGUGGAUGUAUUUCCCAGGCAAAGUAUAAGGUUAGAACAAUUAUAAUUAUGGUAUUGUUCUUUACUGUAACUACUCCAAGUGGAAUAGCUAUUGGAAUGAUGAUAUCAAAAGGUUACAAUGAGCAAAGCUCAACAGCACUUAUUGUACAGGGAGUUCUUAAUUCAGCAUCAGCUGGGAUUCUUAUUUACAUGGCACUCGUGGAUCUACUUGCAACUGAUUUUAUGAACCCUAAAUUA
rnacentral:misc_RNA from 1 species